AAAGAAACUUUUAACAGCAAUAAAAUAAUCAUGAAGCGUGCUUAUGAAAUAAAUUCACCGAGAGAAGCUAAGUUUGUAAAUUAUGGAUGAUAAUUACACAUCAACAAGACCAAAAAGACGAAGAAAAUAAUAAAGGUAAAAAGUUGAGAU